GACGAACGCUGGCGGCGUGCUUAACACAUGCAAGUCGAACGGAAAGGCCCUGCUUUUGUGGGGUGCUCGAGUGGCGAACGGGUGAGUAACACGUGAGUAACCUGCCCUUGACUUUGGGAUAACUUCAGGAAACUGGGGCUAAUACCGGAUAGGAGCUCCUGCUGCAUGGUGGGGGUUGGAAAGUUUCGGCGGUUGGGGAUGGACUCGCGGCUUAUCAGCUUGUUGGUGGGGUAGUGGCUUACCAAGGCUUUGACGGGUAGCCGGCCUGAGAGGGUGACCGGCAACAUUGGGACUGAGAUACGGCCCAGACUCCGACGGGAGGCAGCAGUGGGGAAUAUUGCACAAUGGGCGGAAGCCUGAUGCAGCAACGCCGCGUGCGGGAUGACGGCCUUCGGGUUGUAAACCGCUUUCGCCUGUGACGAAGCGUGAGUGACGGUAAUGGGUAAAGAAGCACCGGCUAACUACGUG
rnacentral:rRNA from 1 species